rnacentral:rRNA from 1 species
GCGGCGUGCUUAACACAUGCAAGUCGAACGAAGCACUUAUCUUUGAUUCUUCGGAUGAAGAGGUUUGUGACUGAGUGGCGGACGGGUGAGUAACGCGUGGGUAACCUGCCUCAUACAGGGGGAUAACAGUUAGAAAUGACUGCUAAUACCGCAUAAGACCACGGAGCCGCAUGGCUCAGUGGGAAAAACUCCGGUGGUAUGAGAUGGACCCGCGUCUGAUUAGGUAGUUGGUGGGGUAACGGCCUACCAAGCCAACGAUCAGUAGCCGACCUGAGAGGGUGACCGGCCACAUUGGGACUGAGACACGGCCCAAACUCCUACGGGAGGCAGCAGUGGGGAAUAUUGCACAAUGGGGGAAACCCUGAUGCAGCGAUGCCGCGUGAGCGAAGAAGUAUUUCGGUAUGUAAAGCUCUAUCAGCAGGGAAGAAAAUGACGGUACCUGACUAAGAAGCACCGGCUAAAUACGUGCCAGCAGCCGCGGUAAUACGUAUGGUGCAAGCGUUAUCCGGAUUUACUGGGUGUAAAGGGAGCGUAGACGGCUGUGUAAGUCUGAAGUGAAAGCCCGGGGCUCAACCCCGGGACUGCUUUGGAAACUAUGCAGCUAGAGUGUCGGAGAGGUAAGUGGAAUUCCCUAGUGUAGCGGUGAAAUGCGUAGAUAUUGGGAGGAACACCAGUGGCGAAGGCGGCUUACUGGACGAUGACUGACGUUGAGGCUCGAAAGCGUGGGGAGCAUACAAGGUUAGAUACCCUGGUAGUCCACGCCGUAAACGAUCUUAAAGGGUGUCGGGGAGCAAAAGCUUUUCGGUGCCGCAGCAAACGCAAUAAGUAGUCCACCUGGGGAGUACGUUCGCAAGAAUGAAACUCAAAGGAAUUGACGGGGACCCGCACAAGCGGUGGAGCAUAUGGUUUAAUUCGAAGCAACGCGAAGAACCUUACCUGCUCUUGACAUCCCGGUGACCGGCAUGUGAUGAUGCCUUUUCUUCGGAACACCGGUGACAGGUGGUGCAUGGUUGUCGUCAGCUCGUGUCGUGAGAUGUUGGGUUAAGUCCCGCAACGAGCGCAACCCUUAUCUUCAGUAGCCAGCAAUUCGGAUGGGCACUCUGGAGAGACUGCCAGGGAUAACCUGGAGGAAGGUGGGGAUGACGUCAAAUCAUCAUGCCCCUUAUGAGCAGGGCUACACACGUGCUACAAUGGCGUAAACAAAGGGAAGCGAGCCUGCGAGGGUAAGCAAAUCUCAAAAAUAACGUCUCAGUUCGGAUUGUAGUCUGCAACUCGACUACAUGAAGCUGGAAUCGCUAGUAAUCGCGAAUUAGCAUGUCGCGGUGAAUACGUUCCCGGGUCUUGCACA